AUGGAUUAUCAUAGGAGGAUCUACUCUUUCGAGUUAGCGCCCCAGCUUGGCCUACAAGAGAUAAUAACUGAGUGGUCUCCCCACUCGAUCAGAACCCCAUACCAAACAUCAUGGCUAGUGGUUUGUGGUGACAUGCUCCUCAUGGUUGACCAUUGGAGCAAACGUAUUAAGGAUGGUGGUAUUUUGAAAAAGGUUUGUACACUUCACCUCGACAUGUCAAGCAAACCUGCAAAAUGGGUUGUCAAGAAAAAGUUGGGCAGCUGGGCAGCCUUUGCAGGAUGUGAUAGGAAGAACAUGCCAUUAUCUAAUAUGAACCCAGAACGAUGGGGAGGGAGGAGCAAUUCAUUGUAUUACGCCGAGAGUUCUCCACCGUGGAGAGUACACGAGCUGGACAGCGCACAUGAUCCUUGGGGCGCUUCCAUCAGGCAGUGCGUAAUAUAUUGGGGCCACUACAUGAAGCCCCUCUGGGUGUAUCCAAGCAUGCUCUAUUCAGAUGGGGCCAGUGAUCAUCGUGUGGAACGAUAG
rnacentral:rRNA from 1 species